GGGGGAGAUAAUGUAACACCCCAUAAUCGUAACGCUCAAAUAAUGCAUUUAAAAUGACCUUUAAGACCCCCAUUUUGAUGGUAAACCAUGCUUAAAUAUUAUGAAUUGUGUUGGGGGUGUUUUUGGAUGUUGGAAUUAGGCAUGUGUUACCAAAUAAACCUUUCACUAAGGUUGUGCGUCGCAUGACAAAUGCCAAUAGCCACUGGAUGGGCUAGGAUAUUGGUGUGCCAUAAGUGUGCG
rnacentral:lncRNA from 1 species